rnacentral:rRNA from 1 species
UACCAGCACCCCGAGUGGUCGGGACGAUUAUUGGGCCUAAAGCAUCCGUAGCCGGUUUUACAAGUCCCCCGUUAAAUCCAGCUGCUUAACAGAUGGGCUGCGGAGGAUACUAUAAGACUAGGAGGCAGGAGGAGGCAAGCGGUACUCAGUGGGUAGGGGUAAAAUCCGUUGAUCCAUUGAAGACCACCAGUGGCGAAGGCGGCUUGCCAGAAUGCGCUCGACGGUGAGGGAUGAAAGCUGGGGGAGCAAACCGGG